AUGGGAUCUGACGGGACGGGGGCCAGGAGGCGGCUGCCGCCAGCCAACGGUGUGUCCAAGGAAGUGGCGCCGCUGCCCCAGCCCGUCCAGCCCAGGCUGCUCACGCUGCCCACCGUGCUCACCAUUGGCCGCGUCGCCGCCGUCCCGUUCCUCAUAAGCACUUUCUACAUGGAUGGUCCUUGGGCAGCAACUGCCACAACUGGCAUCUUCCUUGCUGCAGCGAUCACUGAUUGGCUAGAUGGUUAUAUUGCGAGAAAGAUGCAUUUGGGAACACCUUUUGGUGCAUUUCUUGAUCCUGUGGCCGACAAGCUUAUGGUAGCUGCGACACUAGUGUUGCUGUGCACCAAACCUUUGGAAACUUCACUGCUCACGAAUGGACCAUGGCUUCUGACAGUUCCUUCCAUUGCCAUCAUUGGGAGAGAGAUCACAAUGUCAGCUGUUAGAGAGUGGGCUGCGUCUCAGAAUACCCAAGUUCUUGAGGCUGUGGCAGUAAACAAUUUAGGGAAGUGGAAGACAGCGACACAGAUGACAGCAUUGACUCUGCUCCUUGCCAGCAGAGACCCGAGUCUACAUGUACAAGGUGCUCUAGUCCCCCCUGGUGUUGCGUUGCUCUAUGCAUCUGCUGGACUUGCCAUAUGGUCCCUAGUGGUGUACAUCAGAAAUAUAUGGCGGAUACUUCUAAAAUAG
rnacentral:rRNA from 1 species